GAUGAACGCUGGCGGCGUGCUUAACACAUGCAAGUCGAACGAUGAAGCCCAGCUUGCUGGGUGGAUUAGUGGCGAACGGGUGAGUAACACGUGAGUAACCUGCCCUUAACUCUGGGAUAAGCCUGGGAAACUGGGUCUAAUACCGGAUAGGAGCGUCCACCGCAUGGUGGGUGUUGGAAAGAUUUAUCGGUUUUGGAUGGACUCGCGGCCUAUCAGCUUGUUGGUGGGGUAAUGGCUCACCAAGGCGACGACGGGUAGCCGGCCUGAGAGGGUGACCGGCCACACUGGGACUGAGACACGGCCCAGACUCCUACGGGAGGCAGCAGUGGGGAAUAUUGCACAAUGGGCGCAAGCCUGAUGCAGCGACGCCGCGUGCGGGAUGACGGCCUUCGGGUUGUAAACCUCUUUCAGUAGGGAAGAAGCGAGAGUGACGGUACCUGCAGAAGAAGCACCGGCUAACUACGUG
rnacentral:rRNA from 1 species